rnacentral:rRNA from 1 species
CCUACGGGCUGCAGCAGUGAGGAAUAUUGGUCAAUGGACGAGAGUCUGAACCAGCCAAGUAGCGUGAAGGAUGACUGCCCUAUGGGUUGUAAACUUCUUUUAUAAAGGAAUAAAACGAGGCACGUGUGCCUUUUUGCAUGUACUUUAUGAAUAAGGAUCGGCUAACUCCGUGCCAGCAGCCGCGGUAAUACGGAGGAUCCGAGCGUUAUCCGGAUUUAUUGGGUUUAAAGGGAGCGUAGAUGGGUUGUUAAGUCAGUUGUGAAAGUUUGCGGCUCAACCGUAAAAUUGCAAUUGAUACUGGCAGUCGUGAGGACAGUUGAGGUAGGCGGAAUUCGUGGUGUAGCGGUGAAAUGCUUAGAUAUCACGAAGAACCCCGAUUGCGAAGGCAGCUUACUAAACUGUGACUGACAUUGAUGCUCGAAAGUGUGGGUAUCAAACAGGAUUAGAUACCCCAGUAGUC